ACGGAGGGUGCGAGCGUUGUUCGGAAUCACUGGGCGUAAAGGGCGUGUAGGCGGUCCGCUAAGUCUGAUGUGAAAGCCCGGGGCUCACCCCCGGAAGUGCAUUGGAAACUGGCGAACUCGAGUCCCGGAGAGGAGAGUGGAAUUCCUGGUGUAGCGGUGAAAUGCGUAGAUAUCGAGAGGAACACCUGCGGCGAAGGCGGGUUGCUGGGCUGACACUGACGCUGAACUGCGAAAGCUAGGGGAGCGAACGGGA
rnacentral:rRNA from 1 species